rnacentral:misc_RNA from 1 species
CUCGGCUCUCGCAUCGAUGAAGAACGUAGCGAAAUGCGAUACCUGGUGUGAAUUGCAGAAUCCCGCGAACCAUCGAGUCUUUGAACGCAAGUUGCGCCCGAGGCCACUCGGCCGAGGGCACGCCUGCCUGGGCGUCACGCCAAAACACGCUCCCAACCACUCUCAACGGGAAUCGGGAUGCGGCAUCUGGUCCCUCGUCUCUCAAGGGACGGUGGACCGAAGAUUGGGCUGCCGGCGUACCGCGCCGGACACAGCGCAUGGUGGGCGUCCUCGCUUUAUCAAUGCAGUGCAUCCGACGCGCAGCUGGCAUUAUGGCCUUUGAACGACCCAACAAACGAAGCGCACGUCGCUUCGACCGCGACCCCAGGUCAGGCGGGACUACCCGCUGAGUUUAAGCAUAUAAAUAAGCGGAGGAGAAGAAACUUACAAGGAUUCCCCUAGUAACGGCGAGCGAACCAGGAGCAGCCCAGCUUGAGAAUCGGGUGGCUGUGCCGUCCGAAUUGUAGUCUGGAGAGGCGUCCUCAGCGACGGACCGGGCCCAAGUCCCCUGGAAAGGGGCGCCUGGGAGGGUGAGAGCCCCGUCCGGCCCGGACCCUGUCGCCCCACGAGGCGCCGUCAACGAGUCGGGUUGUUUGGGAAUGCAGCCCAAAUCGGGCGGUAGACUCCGACCAAGGCUAAAUACAGGCGAGAGACCGAUAUCGAACAAGUACCGCGAGGUAAAGAUGAAAAGGACUUUGAAAAGAGAGUCAAAGAGUGCUUGAAAUUGCCGGGAGGGAAGCGGAUGGGGGCCGGCGAUGCGCCCCGGCCGUAUGCGGAACGGCUCUUGCUGGUCCGCCGCUCGGCUCGGGGUGUGGACUGUUGUCGGCCGCGCCGGCGGCCAAAGCCCGGGGGCCCUAGGUGCCCCCGGUGGCCGUCGUCGGCACGGCCGGUACCCGCGCGCCGAAAGGCGUGUCCCUCGGGGCACUGCGCUGCAACGGCCUGCGGGCUCCCCAUCCGACCCGUCUUGAAACACGGACCAAGGAGUCUGACAUGCGUGCGAGUCGACGGGUUCUGAAACCUGGGAUGCGCAAGGAAGCUGACGAGCGGGAGGCCCUCACGGGCCGCACCGCUGGCCGACCCUGAUCUUCUGUGAAGGGUUCGAGUUGGAGCACGCCUGUCGGGACCCGAAAGAUGGUGAACUAUGCCUGAGCGGG